rnacentral:rRNA from 1 species
UGGUGGGUAGUUUGACUGGGGCGGUCUCCUCCUAAAGAGUAACGGAGGAGCACGAAGGUUGGCUAAUCCUGGUCGGACAUCAGGAGGUUAGUGCAAUGGCAUAAGCCAGCUUGACUGCGAGCGUGACGGCGCGAGCAGGUGCGAAAGCAGGUCAUAGUGAUCCGGUGGUUCUGAAUGGAAGGGCCAUCGCUCAACGGAUAAAAGGUACUCCGGGGAUAACAGGCUGAUACCGCCCAAGAGUUCAUAUCGACGGCGGUGUUUGGCACCUCGAUGUCGGCUCAUCACAUCCUGGGGCUGAAGUAGGUCCCAAGGGUAUGGCUGUUCGCCAUUUAAAGUGGUACGCGAGCUGGGUUUAGAACGUCGUGAGACAGUUCGGUCCCUAUCUGCCGUGGGCGCUGGAAGACUGAGGGGGGCUGCUCCUAGUACGAGAGGACCGGAGUGGACGCAUCACUGGUGUUCGGGUUGUCAUGCCAAUGGCACUGCCCGGUAGCUAAAUGCGGAAAAGAUAAGUGCUGAAAGCAUCUAAGCACGAAACUUGCCCCGAGAUGAGUCUUCCCUGAGACUUUGAGUCUCCUGAAGGAACGUUAAAGACGA